rnacentral:misc_RNA from 1 species
GCUACGUGUCACUACACAUCCCAAAGCAGCGUAACCAGGUGGAGCAACUGGGUACCAGAAGAAAGCUUCCUCCAGUCCUUUGCCCGCAAUAUGAGCAACUUUUGUAAAUUGCACAGCCUUUGCAGAAAGUUCAGGGUUGUCAGCCUUGAACAUUAUACCCAGGGGAGGUGGUUCUAAGCCUUCAGUAAUACAGUCACCCAGUACUGCAUAACCAGGACGUCUUAUAGGUCUCCAUAUAGAGACAGCAGGGCGGAGAUCAUUACCCCUGUCCCACCAGAUCCGCUCAAAGUUUGGGGUUGAAAUAUAACAAGAGGUCGCUUUAGAAAUCGAUCUGAU